CGGCCUGAGAGGGUGGACGGCCACAUUGGGACUGAGACACGGCCCAAACUCCUACGGGAGGCAGCAG
rnacentral:rRNA from 1 species